rnacentral:rRNA from 1 species
UACGUAGGGGCCUAGCGUUGUCCGGAAUCAUUGGGCGUAAAGAGCGCGUAGGCGGCCCGGUAAGUCCGCUGUAAAAGUCAAAGGCUUAACCUUUGAAAGUCAGUGGAUACUGCCGGGCUAGAGUCCGGAAGAGGCGAGUGGAACUCCUGGUGGUAGCGGUGGAAUGCGCAGAUAUCAGGAAGAACACCGACGGCGAAGGCAGCUCGCUGGGACGGUACUGACGCUGAGGCGCGAAAGCGUGGGGAGCAAACAGG